UGGGGAAUCUUGCGCAAUGGGCGAAAGCCUGACGCAGCGACGCCGCGUGAGUGAUGAAGGCCUUCGGGUUGUAAAGCUCUGUGGAGAGGGACGAAUAAGUCGUGGCUAACAUCCACGAUGAUGACGGUACCUCUUUAGCAAGCACCGGCUAACUCUGUGCCAGCAGCCGCGGUAAGACAGAGGGUGCAAACGUUGUUCGGAAUUACUGGGCGUAAAGCGCGUGUAGGCUGCUUCGCAAGUCGGGUGUGAAAGCCCUGGGCUCAACCUAGGAAGUGCACUCGAAACUGCGGAGCUGGAGUCCUGGAGAGGAAGGCGGAAUUCUCGGUGUAGAGGUGAAAUUCGUAGAUAUCGAGAGGAACACCGGUGGCGAAGGCGGCCUUCUGGACAGUGACUGACGCUGAGACGCGAAAGCGUGGGGAGCAAACAGGAUUAGAUACCCCCGUAGUCC
rnacentral:rRNA from 1 species